AAUGCGAAGGAAAACCCAGAAAUCUGGGUCUGCGAUGGUGUGCCGCGGCACGGCUUUUGCUUGCCGCGGCCUAGGGGUCUCUGGAGGUGGGUGCCGCGGCACAAGGAAUGUGGUGCCGCGGCACAAGGCAAAUUUCAGGGAGUGAUAUUUUGCAAUUUUUGACCUUUGCUCCGGGGGUUCGGGGGAUGUCUCCGGGAUGUUGUUCUAGGGUUUUGGGGGUUCCGAGAGUGUGGAUUAGGUACCGGGAAGGUAGUCUUGGAUUGGUUAAUGACAAGGAAUAUUAUAUUUGUGUUUGAUUAGGACUUUGGAGAAGCUCGGGAUAGAGGACCGUGCUUGUGGCUACGUGAUAUCGGAAACCAGCGAAUUGAAAGGUAAGGGUAAGGGCAAGCUGGACCAGGCCUGAGGUGGAGAGCUCCGAGGUGAAAUGUACAUAGCCAGCCGUUCGAUCACCACGGUCGAGGAGUGUGUCAGGACGGAGAUUACCUAACCACUCAUUUUGCCUUAGUAUGGCUGUUGAUGUAUAUAGACUUUGUAACUUUUGUAAAUGACUUUUAAACUGUCAUUUUUGGGAUCCCUUGUACAUAAACAAUGUUUAGUAAUGAAAAUGUAUCUUUU